GUGUCAGCAGCCGCGGUAAUACAGAGGGUGCGAGCGUUAAUCGGAAUUACUGGGCGUAAAGGGUGCGUAGGUGGUUGAUUAAGUUGGAUGUGAAAUCCCUGGGCUUAACCUAGGAACUGCAUACAAUACUGAUGAGCUAGAGUGUGGUAGAGGGUAGUGGAAUUUCCGGUGUAGCGGUGAAAUGCGUAGAUAUCGGAAGGAACACCAGUGGCGAAGGCGGCUACCUGGACUAACACUGACACUGAGGCACGAGAGCGUGGGGAGCAAACAGGAUUAGAAACCCUUGUAGUCC
rnacentral:rRNA from 1 species